UCUGUUUGGCAGCUUUUUGGGAAGUUUGGUGUCUCGUGUCCUCUCCGUGGCCCUUCAGGAGCACCUUAAGAGUGUCUGGUCACCUCUCGUGCCCUUCAGGAGCUCCUUAGAGUGUGUCACCUCUUGUGCCCUUUCAGGAGCACCGUAGUGUCUGUCACCCCUAUAUAGUUUGAUUUAUUGAUGAUUAUGCAAGACCAUCCAUCUUCAUGUAGUAGUCAUGUCUGCAAUGGGUCCACAUUUGGUCAUGCUAAAUAGUUUCAACAUGAGAACAAAUUUGCAAUGUUUCACCAUGGCAACAUGUGAUGCAACAUGUCAUACAAACUUGCAGGACUCCGCCCACUCUUCUGGUUGAGAUGGCUAACCCUAGCCCUAACCCUAGAUGACACAUUUGACUUCUUUAUUUGAAUUUGAUGAAUAAGUACAUAUCAUUAUUAGAGGAAGUAUUAAAUUGCAGAUAAAGUCUCAGUCCAUAAUGUACAUUAAGGGUGAAGAUGACACCUGCGCCUCCAGAUGAAGAGGUUACCAAUUAGUGCUGAUUUAAAGCAGUACUUUGAGAAGUGUUUAGUGUUUAGUGUUGAUAUAGAUCAGUACUUUGAGAAGUGUUUAGUGCUGAUUUAAGGGAGUACUUUGUGAAGUGUUUAGUGCUGAUAUAGAGCAGUACUUUGAGAAGUGUUUAGUGUUGAUAUAGAGCAGUACUUUGAGAAGUGUUUAGUGUUGAUAUACAGCAGUACUUUGAGAAGUGUUUAGUGCUGAUAUACAGCAGUACUUUGAGAAGUGUUUAGUGUUGAGCAGUACUUUGAGAAGUGUUUAGUGUUUAGUGUUGAUUUAAGGCAGUACGUUGUGAAGUGUUUAGUGCUGAUAUAGAGCAGUACUUUGAGAAGUGUUUAGUGUUGAUUUAAGGCAGUACUUUGAGAAGUGUUUAGUGUUGAUUUAAAGCAGUACUUUGAGAAAUGUUUAGUGUUGAUUUAAAGCAGUACUUUGAGAAGUGUGUGUUGUUGAUUUAAGGCAGUACUUUGAGAAGUGUUUAGUGUUGAUUUAAGGCAGUACUUUGGGAAGUGUCUAGUGUUGAUAUAGAGCAGUACUUUGAGAAGUGUUUAGUGUUUAGUGUUGAUAUAGAGCAGUACUUUGAGAAGUGUUUAGUGUUGAUAUAGAGCAGUACUUUGAGAAGUGUUUAGUGCUGAUAUAGAUCAGUACUUUGAGAAGUGUUUAGUGUGUUUAGUGCUGAUAUAGAUCAGUACUUUAUGAAGUGUUUAGUGUUUAGUGCUGAUAUAGAUCAGUACUUUGAGAAGUGUUUAGUGUUGAUAUAGAGCAGUACUUUGAGAAGUGUUUAGUGUUGAUUUAAAGCAGUACUUUGAGAAGUGUUUAGUGCUGAUAUAGAGCAGUACUUUGAGAAGUGUUUGGUGCUGAUUUAAAGCAGUACUUUGGGAAGUGUGUGUGUGUGUGUUUAGUGUUGAUAUAGAGCAGUACUUUGGGAAGUGUUUAGUGCUGAUAUAGAUCAGUACUUUGGGAAGUGUUUAGUGCUGAUAUAGAGCAGUACUUUGAGAAGUGUUUAGUGCUGAUAUGAAGCAGUACUUUGAGAAGUGUUUAGUGUUGAUAUAGAUCAGUACUUUGAGGAGUGUUUAGUGCUGAUUUAAAGCAGUACUUUGAGAAGUGUUUAGUGUUGAUAUAGAGCAGUACUUUGUGAAGUGUUUAGUGUUGAUAUAGAGCAGUACUUUGAGAAUGUUUAGUGCUGAUAUAGAGCAGUACUUUGAGAAGUGUUUAGUGCUGAUAUAGAGCAGUACUUUGAGAAGUGUUUAGUGCUGAUAUAAAGCAGUACUUUGAGAAGUGUUGUGCUGAUUUAAAGCAGUACUUUGAGAAGUGUUUAGUGCUGAUAUAGAGCAGUACUUUGAGAAGUGUUUAGUGUUGAUAUAGAGCAGUACUUUGAGAAGUGUUUAGUGUUGAUUUAAAGCAGUACUUUGGGAAGUGUUUAGUGCUGAUUUAAAGCAGUACUUUGAUAAGUGUUUAGUGUUGAUAUAGAGCAGUACUUUGAGAAGUGUUUAGUGCUGAUAUAGAUCAGUACUUUGAGAAGUGUUUAGUGCUGAUAUAGAGCAGUACUUUGUGAAGUGUUUGGCCCUUUUCUUAGAGUCCUCAGAUAUGCAGGCCUCACACACACAUUUUAUGCACAUGACCUAAGCUACCAAAGAUCAGGGCAACGAGUAGCCAUAGUUGUUUAAAACAUUAUUUAAGGGUUGGUAUUUUAACAGUUUUGACGCAUAGCAGGUGUCCAUGUAAGCGCCAUAAGAGCAACCAAUUUCAAUUAUUGUGAUCGCUUUGUUGUAUUCAUCAAUUAUCACAAAGUCUGGUGUA
ensembl:lncRNA